AGUGUGCUUCCACGAGGCCGUUGACUGAUAUUAUCAUAGGGAGGACACUGAUUUUCUUUAGGUUAUACAGUUCUUUCAGCUGAAAUGCCAGGUCGCCAUAUUUGGUUAUUUUUUCCGUGUAGGCUUUCGAAACGUUAUCAUCUGCCGGGACAGUGAAUUCUACGAGCAUGCACGUUUUUUCCUCAGUGUCGAAGAGCGCCAUAUCGGGUCUGUUAUGCAUCACAUUUCUAUCUGUGACUAGGGUGGAGUCCCAAUAGAGCUUGUACCGUGCAUUCUGUAGUAGGGUUUUCGGAGCAUACAGAUGACUUUGAAGUUCCUCUUGAAGCAGACCAAGUUUUAGCGCAGUUUGUUGAUGGUAAAUCUUCGCCAUGGAGUUAUGUCUCUCGAGGUGCCUGGAAACACUUUCGACAACGAUCGGAUGGUAUGUCAAGUUUGGCAACAUUUUUCUGGUACAUUCUGGUGGCCACAACUUGGUCUUGUAUAGCUAAAAGUCGACCCUCCGUCUCUGGAAAGAGACAGCCGGGGUACCUUCCGUGUAGGGCUUUAGAGUUCCAUUCCUCAACAAGUUCUUCUAUUGUGCGAACAGUCUGUUGGAGAGCUGGGUUCGACAGUUUCAAAGCCGAGAUAUCCUGAUCCGCUUCACGAAUCGCCUGAAAGAAAGGUGAAUUUUUCUUCAGAAAGUAAUUCCGCAUUGUGGUGAUAUUUUCUUGGUGGAUUUUCUCCAAGUUGAGUAGGCCUCUACCUCCCAGGUGACGUGGUAGGUAUAAUCUCACUGUCGAUGAAUGUGGAUGGUGGACCCCAUAUUUCGUGAGCAAGGAUCUCAGUGCUCGGUCCAUUUCCCGAAGGUCGGUUGUCGACCAAGUCAGAAUACCAA